GAGUCCAGACCGGUCUGGGAAUGAGAAGACUCGGAGAUCGAGGAUUCAGCCGCCGUUCAUCUCGGAUCAGACGGUGCGUAAUCACUGCCGGUAUCUUCACAAACCCUAGCCCUCUUUAUAUUCCCGGGCCUUGGCUAUUCCUCGGCCGAAGUACGCGAGUCCGAGCGCUUCAGGAGGAGCAGAGGGGGAGGCCGCGGCGCUUAGGAGGACAAAAUGGACGAGGAGGUUCUGCCGGAAAUAAGUUCCAGAUGUCGCUAGGUAUGAAGGGCCGUCUCAACCGGUUUCCCACUGCUUGUGUUGGGAUAUGGUGAUGGAGUUACGGUGAUGGCCCCUGUCAAAAUGGGUAAGCCUGACCUCAGAAAGAAAAGAAGGUCAUGCCUGCUGUCAUUGUAACGCAGCGGAGGCCAUGUCGCAGAAAGGAUGGUGUCUAUAUGUACUUUGAAGGACGAGGAGGUUCUGCCGGAAAUAAGUUCCAGACGUCGCUAGGUAUGAAGGGCCGUCUUAAUCGGUUUCCCACUGCUUGUGUUGGGAUAUGGUGAUGGGGAUACGGUGAUGGCCCCUGUCAAAAAGGGUAAGCCUGACCUCAGAAAGAAAAGAAGGUCAUGCCUGCUGUCAUUGUAACGCAGCGGAGGCCAUGGCACAGAAAGGAUGGUGUCUAUAUGUACUUUGAAGGACGAGGAGGUUUUGCCGGAAAUAAGUUCCAGAUGUCGCUGGGUAUGAAGGGCCGUCUCAACCGGUUUCCCACUGCUUGUGUUGGGAUAUGGUGAUGGGGAUACAGUGAUGGCCCCUGUCAAAAAGGGUAAGCCUGACCUCAAAAAGAAAAGAAGGUCAUGCCUGCUGUCAUUGUAACGCAGCGGAGGCCAUGGCGCAGAAAGGAUGGUGUCUAUAUGUUCUUUGAAGGACGAGGAGGUUCUGCCGGAAAUAAGUUCCAGAUGUCGCUGGGUAUGAAGGGCCGUCUCAACCGGUUUCCCACUGCUUGUGUUGGGAUAUGGUGAUGGGGACACCGUGAUGGCCCCUGUCAAAAAGGGUAAGCCUGACCUCAAAAAGAAAAGAAGAUCAUGCCUGCUGUCAUUGUAACGCAGCGGAGGCCAUGGCGCAGAAAGGAUGGUGUCUAUAUGUUCUUUGAAGGACGAGGAGGUUCUGCCGGAAAUAAGUUCCAGAUGUCGCUGGGUAUGAAGGGCCGUCUCAACCGGUUUCCCACUGCUUGUGUUGGGAUAUGGUGAUGGGGAUACGGUGAUGGCCCCUGUCAAAAAGGGUAAGCCUGACCUCAAAAAGAAAAGAAGGUCAUGCCUGCUGUCAUUGUAACGCAGCGGAGGCCAUGGCGCAGAAAGGAUGGUGUCUAUAUGUACUUUGAAGGUAUCUCUUUUAUUAUAAAACUCCGCUUGUAUUUUUUUUCUAGUUACCAAAAAAAUCAUAGCAAUGCUUUGUCAUCUUUUAACGCAUCCGUUGAUCAGUAGCACCCACUGGAUCUGAUAGUUAGAUCUGAUAGUUGAUACUUCAGUUUUGGUGGCGAGCCAAGACCGAGCACUAAUACUUCUUUGAUUAUGUCGGUUAUGAUAUCUGUACCAAUCACCAGAUGUUAGCUGGUGCACAAUGCUACUGCACAAUUGGUAACGGAACUUUUUGAUUUUUUGAUAGAUAUGAUUGUUUGUAAUUGCUUUAAGCAUGCUACCAUGUGUUUUUUCCACACAAUACAAUUUUCUAUUGGCUUCUGUGAUUUGACGAAAUUAUUGAAUUUUUGAGCUGAUAUGAUCACCUUAUUUA